rnacentral:tRNA from 2 species
UUCAAGUCCCUCUAUCCCCAAGA